rnacentral:rRNA from 1 species
CCUACGGGAGGCAGCAGUGAGGAAUAUUGGUCAAUGGGCGCGAGCCUGAACCAGCCAAGUCGCGUGAGGGAAGACGGUCCUAUGGAUUGUAAACCUCUUUUGUCGGGGAGCAAAAGACGCCACGCGUGGCGUUCCGAGAGUACCCGAAGAAAAAGCAUCGGCUAACCCCGUGCCCGCAGCCGCGGUAAUACGGAGGAUGCGAGCGUUAUCCGGAUUUAUUGGGUUUAAAGGGUGCGCAGGCGGAAGAUCAAGUCAGCGGUAAAAUUGAGAGGCUCAACCUCUUCGAGCCGUUGAAACUGGUUUUCUUGAGUGAGCGAGAAGUAUGCGGAAUGCGUGGUGUAGCGGUGAAAUGCAUAGAUAUCACGCAGAACUCCGAUUGCGAAGGCAGCAUACCGGCGCUCAACUGACGCUCAUGCACGAAAGUGUGGGUAUCGAACAGGAGUAGAUACCCCGGUAGUC